rnacentral:tRNA from 1 species
GCCGAAGUGGUGGAAUAGGUAGACACGUCAGACUUAAAAUCUGAUGAACUUUUCGUUCGUGCCGGUUCGAUUCCGGCCUUCGGUA